rnacentral:rRNA from 1 species
AACGAACGCUGGCGGCAUGCCUAACACAUGCAAGUCGAACGAGACCUCCGGGCCUAGUGGCGCACGGGGGCGUAACGCGUGGGAACCUGCCCUUGGGUUCGGAAUAACUCCCCGAAAGGGGUCCUAAUACCGGUUAAGGUCUUCGGACCAAAGAUUUAUCGCCUUUGGAUGGGCCCGCGUUGGAUUAGCUAGUUGGUAGGGUAAAAGCCUACCAAGGCGACGAUCCAUAGCUGGUCUGAGAGGAUGAUCAGCCACACUGGGACUGAGACACGGCCCAGACUCCUACGGGAGGCAGCAGUGGGGAAUAUUGGACAAUGGGCGAAAGCCUGAUACAGCAAUGCCGCGUGAGUGAUGAAGGCCUUAGGGUUGUAAAGCUCUUUUACCCGGGAUGAUAAUGACAGUACCGGGAGAAUAAGCACCGGCUAACUCCGUG